CCUUUUCCUACACGUGUAUAACCUAUGUUUUCCCCUUACUUAACAUGUGUGCUAUCCUCUUGAAGCUUUCUUUCAGAACUACUGAAGAUUUUGAAGAACUACUGAAGAUUUAGAAAAGUAUCAGAUGUAACCCUACAAUUUAACCUCCAGAAUUUCAAAUCGGCUGCCAGUGCUUUAUCAGAUUUGUCGUUCAGGUAUUCAUUAAAUGCAAAGGCAAAGUCCAUUUACAAAGGGCUGAAAUUCCACGAUUUGUAUGCGAGGACGAUGGCCAUGUUCCUAACCCAUCCAUCAUGUACUGCGUUAACACAACUAUAAAGGAUGAAAGUGAGGGGGCAAAGGUUGUUUUCUUCAACGAAGCAAUGGAACAAAUGCUGCAAAAAUCUUGCUACGACAUGGUAGUAAAGGAUGGACACACAGAUCCGGAAAUCAUAGCCGCGGAUAUCUAUAAAAUCAGGGGAAAAACCGCAGUUUAAGACAUCUCAAUGAAGCAAGACUUCUCAAUCAAACAAGACAGCUCAAUGGCCGUAAACAAAGCCUCAUUAACACCAUCCAUUAUCCCACCAACCCCAGAUCCUAAAACAUCCACCAAAAGAAGAACACCGGGGCUUCGCCAGACAAUAAAACAACAGAGAAGCCAGCAAAAAGGUAAAAGGAUAAUGGGGAAGGUACCAUUUUUGCCACGCCAUCCUUGCCAAUUUUCCUGCUGAAAUACUAGCUCCUUCACAAAUGCUUUCUCUUUUGUGACACACACAUGGCUAUAGCGCAAUAUUUUGACAUCAACAACAAGAUUGGAAAGGCCAUCACAUCAACAUAUGAAUUAACGGAGCACAUGUUGACUUCAGCAACAACUCAGACAAACUUUGAAAGCAACAAGCAACAACUCAGACAAACUUUGAAAGCAACAAGCAAGGACUACAACUUUAAAUAUCUUAUAAAUUUUAUCUAAGUUGUAGUAAAGUUGUAGUAGGGAUCCUAAUGUAACCUACUACCUCUACAUGUCUAUAACACAUGUUGGAAUAUUCAUGCAA